rnacentral:rRNA from 1 species
GACAGAGGGUGCAAACGUUGUUCGGAUUUACUGGGCGUAAAGCGCGUGUAGGCGGCUUUGCAAGUCGGGUGUGAAAUCCCCGGGCUCAACCUGGGAACUGCAUCCGAGACUGCAUUGCUAGAGUAUGGGAGAGGGAAGCGGAAUUUCUGGUGUAGCAGUGAAAUGCGUAGAUAUCAGAAGGAACAUCAGUGGCGAAGGCGGCUUCCUGGACCAAUACUGACGAUCAGGUGCGAAAGCGUGGGGAGCAAACAGG